CUGAACGAGAAGACCACCGCAUUUCCAAUACUUUCAUUUCCUGCAUUUAUCGUUAUCUAGGAGUAGUCUAUAUGUAAUCUUUUUUACCUGCAUUUACUGCUUUCCUAGGAGUAGUUUUUAAGUUAGGCCUCUGGAAUCUGUAUACCCCACGGGCACACUCUAUUGUAAUCUAGAUUUUCAAAGUCUGUAUGCCCUUCGGGCACACUCUGUUUUGUAUGAGUUUCCAAUUUCAGUUUAAUAUAUAAAGACAUUCGGCUCUUUCAGCCGAUCAGUCACUGUGUAUUCCAUCUAUUCGGCUUAUCAGCCGACCCAAAACCUUGUGCAUUCUGUACAUUCGGCUCUUCCAGCUGAACCAAGUCUAUAGUAAAGGUUUUCGAACUCGGCUGAUUCGAUCCCUCAUCAGCCAAAUCGCUUGAUCCAGUCGAAGGGCGCAAACUUCGAGGGUCACUAAUCCUAGCCGUUCUGCAUCCCGACGCGCUUCCCUAGAGAGAUCUUUGACCCGGUCAAAGAAGAGGGAGAAUUCGGCUCCUAACAAUUUAUGGCACGCCCGGUGGGACACACUCAGGUAUUCCCAAUCUAGACUUUGUCCUAUGGCUGACGAUAAUGCUAUGAACCUCCGGAAUAGAGCCAUUCCCAGGCCUUCAGGGAAUGACCAAGCUAGUAGCGCCGAAAUUGUGAAUGAGAAUCAGGCGGUACUACCUGUUGGAGGAGAGACUAGUGAACAGUCGGCUCAUCAAGAGCCGAGUCUAACUCAGGCACUCGGCCAUAUGACCCGAGUCUUGCAAAUUGUAGAUUAAAAUAUCCAUCAAAGUACCGCUCAACUAGAUACGGUGCUGACCGCCAUCACGGUCUACAAUGAAAAUAUUGUUCGAAUCAGAUACUUAUUUACCCGAAAUAAGCAAACUUACGGGGGGCAACAGGGGCCCCUAAAUAUGCCGGUGCAACAAAAUCCCGUCACGCCGGCGGUCUUACAGGCGCAACCGCAAAUGGCACCUUUCCAGGCUACUUAUAGGCCGGCGAAUAUAAACGUCGGCCCGCAAUCGGAGAUGGCAUCGGGUUUACCUCUUUUACCAGCUUACCAGCCCAAAACGUGGGCGUAAGGGCUAGGGGGCAGGCUCUGAAUAUGCAAGGAGUUAACCUAUUAUACCAAAUUUCGGUCUACCGCAAGGACCGAAUGUAGUACAAGCACAGGUUCCUUUCCAGGGGAACAAUAAUGAAAUAUACGCACGGAUUGAAGAAGCCAUCCGAAAUACUUUCGGAGUUGGCGCAAGGACGGCAAUGCGGCAUGUGUUUAGAUCUCCUUAUACCGCAAACAUCGACGUAGAGCAUCCGUAUCUGGCAAACUGAAAAAUGCCGAAGUUCGACAAGUUCUCGGGCGAUGAAACCGAGAAUACGAUCGAGCAUAUAGCCCGGUUCACGGCCCAAUAUAGAGAAGCGGCCGCUGACUCAUUUUUGAACUUAGAUUAUUUAACACGUCGUUAAUUAAAACGGCGUUUACUUGGUAUACAAGUUUAUCAGCUAAUUCCAUCCAAGAUUGGGACGAAUUGGAAAGAAAAUUUCAUGAACAAUUCUAUAGAUCGGAGCCACAAUUAUCGGUUGCCGACUUGGCUUUAUACCGACAAAAGUCAAGUGAAACGAUCGAAGAGUAUUUGAACCGUUUCAAAAUAGCCAAAACCUGGUGCUUUAUGAGAAUGCCGGAAUCAGAGUUCGCCAAAAUGGCGUUAAAUGGUCUGCAUUUUAAGAUAAAAGACCAUUUUGAAGAUAAGUAUUUUUCUAACCUAUUUGAUCUAGGUGUUCGAGUUGCCGAAUCUGAGCAAUUUCGGAAGAAAAGUGAGGACAAUCGGUUGCAAUGGAGCCGAUAUAAAAAGCAAAGCAAAGGCAAAGAAAAAUCCUUGAUAGAAGAACAGUCGGUUCAAGAAGAGCCGAGCCAAUCGAGUGAAAGUGAAGAAUCGGCUGAUGAAGCCGAGGUAUAUGCGGCCGGUAAAGAGCCGCUUUCUUCAAGGAGAAAUCCUUGAUAGAAGAACAUUCGGUUCUAGAAGAGCCGAACCAAUCGAGUAAAAGUAAAGAAUCAGCUGAUAAAGCCGAGGUAUAUGCGGUUGGGAUGAUAAAGAGCCGUUUUCAUUAAGCCAACCAAAACCAGCGAGACUAAAGCUUGGUUCUCGGCUGUGCCAUUGAGCAGUCGAUUUGGCACCAAUAGUCAUCCGAAUGUUCAUUCGAAAGACUAUUGGGGGGGCAUUGUUGAUGCCAAAAUUAAAAUUAACACACCGACCUAACCCACAUAUGAGCUAAAGAAAUAAGGACACGUGGUACACCAGGAGUCGGCAAUAGGGCGCCUAAAGGUCAAGAGCGUUUAGGUGGGAACGGUUCAGAAGUGCGGCGUAACUUCCAUGUGAAGUGGGGCGUAACUUCCAUGAUCAUGGCUAUACCACUUCUGCCACUACUAUAACCAACCAAUAAUAUGGGCUGAUAAGAUAUUAUAAAUAGUAACUUUGAAGCAUGUAAUAAGGGUCUUUCUCUCCCUUGAACGAGAAAACUACCGCAUUUUUAAUACUUUCCUUUUCUGCAUUUAUCGUUUUCUAGGAGUAGUCUACAUGUAAUCUUUUUCACCCGUAUUUACUGCUUUCUUAGGAGUAGUUUUUAAGUUAGAUCUCUGGAGUCUGUAUGCCCCACGGGCACACUCUGUUGUAAUCUAGAUUUUCAGAGUCUGUAUGCCCUUCGGGCACACUUUGUUUUGUAUAAGUUCCCAACUUCAGUUUAAUAUAUAAAGGCAUUCGGCUCUUUCAGCCGAUCAGUCACUGUGUAUUCCAUCUAUUCGGCUUAUCAGCCGACCCAAAACCUUGUACAUUCUGUACAUUCGGCUCUUCCAGCCGAGCCGAGUCUAUAGUAAAGAUCUUUGAACUCGACUUAUCCGAUCCCUCAUCAGCCAAAUCGCUUGAUCCAGUCGAAAGGCGCAAAUUUCGAGGGUCACUAAUCGUAGCCGUUCCGCAUCCCGAUGUGCUUUCCGAGAGAGAUCUUGGACCCGGUCAAAGAAGAGGGAGAAUUCGGCUCCCA
rnacentral:lncRNA from 1 species